UCUAAGAUCAGACCUGAAACACAUUGCCAAAGAUUUAAUAUUGAUUUAGAAUUGAUUUUGACACACUACUACUGAAUGUUGUAGAGAACACAAAAGAAAUAUCUGCCAUACAUUCUCUUUCUUCAUGAAAUUUGUGCUAUUUUCUAAGGGCCUUAGGGAGGAUGAGGUAAUUUACCAUACUGUCACAUGUAGUAUGGAAUUAAGCAUUUUAGUAGUAUAGGCAGUAAAUCUUAAAGGAAGCUGAAAUCAUGCUAGAGACAGAAGUGGUUAGAUGAAUCUUUUAGAGAUGGAACCAAAUUAAAUCCCAACAUUAUUUGACUUUGUGGUGUAUAUUCUUUUGCUAUACUCUCCUGCCCCUUUCCUAGGGGGCAGGAUACUAAUCAGUGGUGUGUUAUACUUAACAAAUUCCAGGUUGAAAGAAAAAAAAGUAUAAAAGCUAGAUGUAGUAUUGCAUUCCUGUAGUCCCAGAAUUUGGAAGUCUGAUGCAGGAGGACAAAGUUAAAGGUCAGCUGGGAUUAUAUUUACCCUAUCUCAAAA